AGGCCCAUUUUACCCAUUUUCAUUAAAGAAGAAAAUAACACAUGAGCGUGAUGCAGGCCGACGGUGACUGUGGACCCUGGUUGGAUCCCCUAGAUUCAUGGGGAGGAGAUGCAAACGCAUCACGGAUUGGGGAGGAAGGAGCACGAGAGAACCAGCAUCUGCUUGGUUCCUGCUCGCAGACUGUGCAACAGGACGGGAUUGGCUGACGGUGAUGACCCCCGGCAAGAAUCACACAUGUCCCUGAAACGUGACCUUCAGAAUGAACCAAGACAAAGUACAUUCCAAAGGACAGACCAUGGAAUGAGGGAGGAAUCUGAGCUUCAGAGACUCGGGGAGGAUGGGACGAUGAGCCCUGAGACGGCACAGCCCAAUCCCAGGACAUGCUACUGAAAGGAGCACCAAGGGCCCAGGCGUGCACACGAGGCAUCCCAGAGGGAAGGGCCCUUGGGACUCCUGGAGUCACAUCCAGCACCUGGGUCGAUCUCCUAUUUCCUAAAGAAAUCAGGCAGGUCUUCCCCCACAGCAUUAGGAUCCAGCACCUGUUGUGUGCACGCUGUGGGCGGGGACAGAGUGGGGUGACACGCACAGGGGGCACCUCCGACCAGCCCCCCACAUGGUGUGCAUCUGCUGGGCGCCUGAGCCCAGUCCUCUCUGGAGACCCAGCUGGAUGGGGAAGAGCAGCAGCGGGGAGUGAGGCCCAGAGGAAACUUCCCCUUUGGGGGGACAGGAGGGUGGGGGCCUUGCCAGCACUGCCUGCCUGGACAGGAAGGGAAGGACGUGGGGGAGCCCCUGGGGGCGGCCUGCGGAUCCUGUGGAGCAGGACAAGGCCCCGCACGAGUCCCUAUGUUCACCGAGCUCUUGGCUGGGGGUGGGGAGGAGGGCAGGCAGAGAGCCAAGUGUCCCUAGGACCUGGAAGGCCUUCGGCCCAUCCUGCUGCAGGGCCAGCACAUCUGUGUGUGGUGAGCGGUCAGGGGCCACGCUCAACCCCACACAGGCCCCAGGACCCAGACCCUGGACGGGAGGCAUCGGUCAGGAGGGAAGCAGGCUGAGGGCCAGGGUGCUCACUCCUGGGACCAGAGCAUCUGGGGGAGGGCAGGGGACAGAGGGAGCUAGAGCACCCGGUGAGGGUGGUGAGCAGAUGGGGGACAGGAGAGCAGGGCAGUAGUGGGGCAGUGGGAUCUCCUCCUGGGGUCUUUUGUCUCCCAGUCUCUGCUCAGCUCACUGUCACCAGCUAAGCAGAAGCCCUCUCUGAUGUAUGUGGGGGGGUCUGUGCCAGCGGGGUAUACCGGGGGGGCCAUGAGGAGGGCCUCUCAGCCUGGGUCCCAGCCCCCACCGGCCCUGGAGCUGUGGACGCCUGGCCCCACCGCCCUCCAGGUGGGCUGUGCUCCUGCGUGUGGGUCACGGGCUGUCAGUAGGAACUGCUUCCCGCGUGAAUACAAGUGUGUGUCCUCAUCUGUUCAUGCAGGGGGCCCCCAGGAAGGGGGAGCAGUACCCAGGAGUGUCCUUGAAGACCCAGGGACCCUGGCCAGUCCCCUUGCACUGCCACCACAGCAUGAUGGGCCCCUCACGUGGCCGGAGGAGAUGGUGUGGCCCAGAAAUCCCGCCAGGGCCCUGGUGUCCACCCCAGGGCAGUCAUUCCUGCAUGCACAGCGGGGCAGCGCCACCCCCCCCCCCAAGCCUCCCUCAUCCAUCCCCGUGUCCGUCCUCUUGGGGACCAUAGGAUCCCCCACAGUCCCUCCUGUUGUAGCAACCCCCGCACCGGGACUAGAAGAUGCUCCUCCAACCAGAAGGCCAGAGGCCCCCACGCCAGGAGCCCCACAGGAGCUGAGGAUUCCCCGGGCUGGGGGCUCUGCCUCAUCCUCCCUGGUGGGGAAGUGGAAUGGUGACCGAAGCCCCAGAAGGCCCCCUCAGGCCCUUCCUUCGUGUGUGGGCCCCUGUCAGGCACAACCUGGACGCCCCCAGGAAGGCAGCGCGGAGCCUUUCCCAAAACAACCAUCUUUAUUCCCAAUGUGCACACAGUGCCCAGGGGGCUGCCACCGGGUCCC